UACGUAGGUGGCGAGCGUUGUCCGGAUUUACUGGGCGUAAAGGGAGCGUAGGCGGACUUUUAAGUGAGAUGUGAAAUACUCGGGCUCAACUUGAGUGCUGCAUUUCAAACUGGGAGUCUAGAGUGCAGGAGAGGAGAAUGGAAUUCCUAGUGUAGCGGUGAAAUGCGUAGAGAUUAGGAAGAACACCAGUGGCGAAGGCGAUUCUCUGGACUGUAACUGACGCCGAGGCUCGAAAGCGUGGGGAGCAAACAGG
rnacentral:rRNA from 1 species